CUGGGAGAGCCAGUCCACGGAGCCAAAGCUGGAGGGCAGCUGCCGGCCACAAGUUGGGGAGGAGGAGAGACGCAAGGCCGUCAGAUGCUUGUCCUGGAAACCAACCAUGAGCUGUGAUGAAAUCCAGGCAACUGAGUUGUGUUUCAGCCCAAAGCAGCAAAUGGAAUCCAGCUUCAGGACCAUCAUCUGACAUAGGGGAAGAAGACUUACAUAGAAGGCCUAACCAGCACCCAAGAUCAUGGCUGGUGUCAGAGAAGGCUGAAUUGGGUACCAAGACAUUCCUUCUCUCCAGGUGGUAACAAGGACCCUCACAUGGUAUUAAUGAAGACCAAAUGUUUGAAUUUCUGCUUGACUUCUUCAAUUGUGAAAUCUGGAUCUAUGCAGAUUUGCUGCUUGUUGAACCUCUCAAAUACUGAAGGGAAGUUUCCUGGCGGUCUCUCGUCAUAUGCUGUUUACUAAAGGAAUAGUUUCCGAUCUGCUGUAAGAAGUACUAUGCUGUCCAUUUGUUCCAGGACCUUAUCCUCUGCAGGUUUAAUGCGCGUCCGUGUGAAGAGACCUGUCAAUAGACUCUUAGGUGGAAGGGACUUGCCUUGUAUUAGAUGAGACUUUGGACUUGAAUUUCUAAGUAAAUUCUGGAAUGAGGUAAGACUUUGGGGGAUUGUUGGUGAAGGCAUGAUUGUGUUUUGAAAUGUGAGAAGAACAUGUGAUUUAGGAGGGGCCAGGGGAUGGAUGACAUGAUUUGGCUCUGUGUCCCCAUCAAAAUUUAACGUCAAAUUGUAAUCUUCAUGUGUUGAAGGAGGGGCCUGGUGGGAGGUGAUUGAAUCAUGGGGGCAAACUUCCCCCUUGCUGUUUUUGGGAUAGUGAGCGAGUACUCAUGAGAUCUGAUGGUUUAAAAGUGGCACUUUCCCUUGUGCUCUCUCUCUCCUGCCACCAUGUAAGAUGUACCUUGUUUCCCCUUCACCUUGUACCAUGAUUGUAAAUUUCUUGAAGCCUCCCAAGCCAUGUGGAACUAUGAGUCAAUUAAACCAUUUUUUUGUUUGUA
rnacentral:lncRNA from 10 species